CUAAUACCGGAUGCUUGAUUGAACCGCAUGGUUCAAUUAUAAAAGGUGGCUUUCAGCUACCACUUACAGAUGGACCCCGCGGCGCAUUAGCUAGUUGGUGAGGUAACGGCUCACCAAGGCAACGAUGCGUAGCCGACCUGAGAGGGUGAUCGGCCACACUGGGACUGAGACACGGCCCAGACUCCUACGGGAGGCAGCAGUAGGGAAUCUUCCGCAAUGGACGAAAGUCUGACGGAGCAACGCCGCGUGAGUGAUGAAGGUUUUCGGAUCGUAAAACUCUGUUGUUAGGGAAGAACAAGUACCGUUCGAAUAGGGCGGUACCUUGACGGUACCUAACCAGAAAGCCACGGCUAACUACGUGCCAGCAGCCGCGGUAAUACGUAGGUGGCAAGCGUUGUCCGGAAUUAUUGGGAAGUAAAGCGCGCGCAGGCGGGUUUCUUAAAGUCUGAUGUGAAAGCCCCCGGCUCAACCGGGGAGGGUCAUUGGAAACUGGGGAACUUGAGUGCAGAAGAGGAGAGUGGAAUUCCACGUGUAGCGGUGAAAUGCGUAGAGAUGUGGAGGAACACCAGUGGCGAAGGCGACUCUCUGGUCUUGUAACUGACGCUGAAGGCGCGAAAGCGUGGGGAGCGAACAGGAUUAGAUACCCUGGUAGUCCACGCCGUAAACGAUGAGUGCUAAGUGUUAGAGGGUUUCCGCCCUUUAGUGCUGCAGCAAACGCAUUAAGCACUCCGCCUGGGGAGUACGGUCGCAAGACUGAAACUCAAAGGAAUUGACGGGGGCCCGCACAAGCGGUGGAGCAUGUGGUUUAAUUCGAAGCAACGCGAAGAACCUUACCAGGUCUUGACAUCCUCUGACAACCCUAGAGAUAGGGCUUCCCCUUCGGGGGCAGAGUGACAGGUGGUGCAUGGUUGUCGUCAGCUCGUGUCGUGAGAUGUUGGGUUAAGUCCCGCAACGAGCGCAACCCUUGAUCUUAGUUGCCAGCAUUCAGUUGGGCACUCUAAGGUGACUGCCGGUGACAAACCGGAGGAAGGUGGGGAUGACGUCAAAUCAUCAUGCCCCUUAUGACCCUGGGCUACACACGUGCUACAAUGGGGCAGAACAAAGGGCAGCGAAGCCGCGAGGCUAAGCCAAUCCCCACAAAUCUGUUCUCAGUUCGGAUCGCAGUCUGCAACUCGACUGCGUGAAGCUGGAAUCGCUAGUAAU
rnacentral:rRNA from 1 species